GGCCCUGUAGCUCAGGGGUUGGAGCACUGGUCUCGUAAACCAGGGGUCGUGAGUUCAAAUCUUACCAAGGCCU